AUCAACGCUGGCGGCGUGCCUAACACAUGCAAGUCGAACGAGAAAGUGGAGCAAUCCAUGAGUACAGUGGCGUACGGGUGAGUAACACGUGACUACCUACCCUCGAGUGGGGAAUAACCUCGGGAAACCGGGGGCUAAUACCGCAUAACAUCUACGGAUCAAAUGCGUAAGGCAGCUUGAGGAGGGGGUCGCGGCCGAUUAGCUAGUUGGUGAGGUAAUGGCCCACCAAGGCAAUGAUCGGUAGCCGGCCUGAGAGGGCGCACGGCCACACUGGAACUGAAACACGGUCCAGACUCCUACGGGAGGGCAGCAGUGGGAAUUUUGCGCGAUGGGGGGAAACCUGACGCAGCAACGCCGCGUGGAGGAUGAAGCCCUUUGGGGGCGUAAACUCCUUUCGAUCGGGACGAUUAUGACGGUACCGGAUGAAGAAGCACCGGCUAACUCUGUGCCAGCAGCCGCGGGUAAUACAGAGGGUUGCAAGCGUUGUUCGGAAUUAUUGGGCGUAAAGGGCGCGUAGGCGGUGCGGUAAGUCUCUUGUGAAAUCUCCGGGCUCAACCCGGAGCCUGCAAGGGAAACUGCCGUGCUUGAGUGUGGAGAGGUGAGUGGAAUUCCCGGUGUAGCGGUGAAAUGCGUAGAUAUCGGGAGGAACACCUGUGGCGAAAGCGGCUCACUGGACCACAACUGACGCUGAUGCGCGAAAGCUAGGGGAGCAAACAGGAUUAGAUACCCUGGUAGUCCUAGCCCUAAACGAUGAUCGCUUGGUGUAGCAGGUACCCAAUCCUGCUGUGCCGGAGGCUAACGCGUUAAGGCGAUCCGCUGGGGAGUAGGGCGGCUGCAAGGCUGAAACUCAAAGGAAUGACGGGGGCCCGCACAAAGCGGUGGAGCAUGUGGUUCAAUUCGACGGCAACGCGAAGACCUUACCUGGGCUCGAAGCGUAGUGACCGUGGUAGAAAUAUCAUUUUCCCGCAAGGGACCGACUACGUAGGUGCUGCAUGGCUGUCGUCAGCUCGUGUCGUGAGAUGUUGGGUAAGUCCCGCAACGAGCGCAACCUUAUUGCCAGUUGCAUCAUUUAGUUGGGCACUCUGGCGGAAUAACCGCCCCUGAGAUAACGGGGAGGAAGGUGGGAUGACGUCAAGUCCUCAUGGCCUUUAUGUCCAGGGCUACACAACGUGCUACAAUGGUUGGUACAAACUCGUCGCAAACCCGCGAGGGGGAGCUAAUCGGAAAAAGCCAAUCCCAAGUCCGGAUUAGGAGUCUGCAACUCGGCUCCAUGAAGCUGGAAUCGCUAGUAUAUCGCAGAUCAGCACGCUUGCGGUGAAUACGUUCCCGGGCCUUGUACACACCGCCCGUCACAUCACGGAAAGUGGGCUGUACUAGAAGCCGGUGCGCUGACCCGCAUAGGGAGGCAGCCGUCCAAGGUAUAAAUCAUGAUUGGUGGUG
rnacentral:rRNA from 1 species